AUCGCUGAAUCUGAGAUGUUUGCCAAUUACUGUCUUAGUCAUCUCCUCACACCUAGCUCACUUCCUCCCAGAAAGCCAGUAAAAAUCUGCGGGGGCUGUAGGCAAAAAUUCUCUAGUGGCUCUCUAGACUCUGGUGUGGGGUUUGUUGCUAUUCUGAGGUCUGAGUGUUCCUAAUGCAGAAGGAAGCAAGAAGGGAGUUCUCUUCAACAUGAAUAGAAUCCUCCUGCUUUAAUGGAGACACACAUUUUUAUGAAGUGCCAGGAUUAAAUCAACUUGGGGAAGAAGAAAAUGAGAGCGAGAGUGUGCUGUGCCGACAGCUUAAAGACACCAAGCAAAUGCUUUUAAGCGCCAGAGGUGAUUGAACAGAACCGGUGAGGGCUCGUUUUUGUUCAACAGCAAUGACCUAUUUAGAACCGUGACUCAGCCAGCUAGCCUCCCUUGAAAGUGAAAGAAGGCAAGGAAGAAAAGGAGAAAGACAGAAAAAAAUCUUUUCUCUUAUUUGAACUCCAAUAUCUUAAGAGGACCCAGAGCUGUUGGUAACACACAUGGCAGAGCUGAAAAGGGGGAGCUGUUUCCAUGUGCUUCUGGAGGUUCUUCUUUCAUAAAAAACAUAAGAAACAUGUCUAUGCCUUCCCCUUCCCUUUUGCUGCAAGCCUUGCUUUGCAGCUUUGCACACACAGGCAAACCCUUAGGGUGGUUCUGCUUCUCCUCGCUCUUGCACUUCCUUCACUCUGCUUUUUUCAUAUUAAAUUAAUUUAUCAAAUUAAUAUUAAAUUAGUUAAUUGAUUGAUUGGUUUUUUCUACAAUAUCCCACACUUAUAUUCUUUUCCCCUUAAGUAGCUCCAUGAUGUCACCUCUUCCCUAACUCAGCAAGUUCAACUCUUUCUUGAGACAGUCUACAUUAAACCCAACUCAACUGCAUUUGCAGCUAUUUUAUCAUUUCCUUGUUCAGUUCCUUACUUGUUUCCUUAGUCAUGCAGGGCCAGCCCUGUCCAGCUUCCCUACUUUUCCUUCCCUCCCCCAUUCUUAAUCUGGUUCUCUUUUCACUUCCUUCUGCAGUACACCCCCCCCUUCCCAAGAUCAAAAUUCCAAGAAUAUUUCUUCUUCUUUUAUCCAGAAAAAGGGUUUUGUGGAAUGACUCAGGAAGUUAUUCUUGAGGUGCUCAGCACUGAGACAGAGAAGCCAUGCCUAAAUUCCUGGUAGGGUAAUAACACGAUAAAUGCAAAUUUAUUGACUGACUGUUGGAUUGUAUGAUGAGCAUAUGAGGAAACAGACGGUUAGAUGGUGAACUGUAACAACCUAGCCACCCACUGCAGAUAUUUAUUACAGUUUUAGACUCUUCUAUAACCACCCAAACCAGGGCCCAUUAGGUGUUGAGUGCUUUAUUCUCUUAAGUUUGCUCUGGCUCACACACAGUCUGCAUCAUUGGGAAGAGAUUCUGAAUGCUGGAAUUUAUGGGAUUUCUUUAUUGUCUUGAAAACUCUUCUUGGGCAGACAAGACUGAACAGGUGAAGGGUUGAAUAUAAACUGUCCUCCCAGAGGCUCCUGUGUGGAAGGCUUUGUGCCCAGGUGGUGGCACUACUGAGAGGUGACUGUGUCAUCACUAUGCUGUUUGGAAGUGGCGCCUUAUUAGAGGCAGAAGGAUGCAGGGACAUGUCUUUGAUAAGUGAUGUAUGUCCUGUUUGGAGAUUCCCCCCUCCCACCCAGCCUCUCCUGUCUGUCUCAUGCCUUUCUAUCAUCAUGUUCUGCCUCACCACAGGCCUAAAGCAAUGGAGCCAAAUGGACUGAGAUCGCUGAAACCAUGAUGCACUUACUGUUCAUCCAACAUUUAUUCCAACCUGUGAUGGACGAGGCUGUGUACGAUGCUGGAGAUGAGAUGGUGAACACAGUGGUCUCUGCCUACUUCACACCGACUUUCUGGUGGCGAAAGGAAAAUAAAAAAGGGGUUCCUAAGUACUGCGUGCUACACUCAGCAGGCCCAGACAGCCAACCGGGCAACAUGUUUCUGCAUACAGAAUUGGAUGGCUUAGAUAUCACUUAGUGAAAAACAAACUGAGGAAGAAUAACUACUGAAAAUAUCCCGUCCUUCUGAAGAACCAGAAGAGGAAAGACAAGACUAUAAAUAAACAAAAGAGCCAUUCUCUAAGCCAUUCGUUUUCCAAGUCAGAGCAGUUUGCUUUGAAACCUCUUUGUCCUGAGCAUCCCCAGCCUUCUCCCUCCCAGGUGCCUCCACUUGCCUAUGUCCUGAGCAUCCCCAGCCUUCUCCCUCCACAGAUGUCUCCACUUGUUGUCUGCUCAUGCUCACUGCUGAUGCUUCAGGAAAUGGACAACCAUGAAGAACAGAAAUAUUUCAUUACAUGAAAUUUUAAUGCUCACUAUGGAAAACAUCUAGUUAAGAUGUUGCACAGUGCUCAAAUUGAGUCCUUUCUUCUUAGUAUAUUUGAUACCAAGCCAGAUAAUGAGGAUAGCUGAGCUGGGUCUGGUGUCUCAGUUUUCCAAGCAUGUCCUCCAACCCCCUGUGAGGUUGGACAUGACUCUUAAUUGGGUCUCUCGGUUCUUUAAGCUGCAUGGGAUGGCACAGCACAGCCAGGAUACGAAACAGAGCCUCAUGUGUUAUCUGCAUGAGUGCCUGCUUCCAACUGUGUAGUCUCUCUUGUCUUACUUAUUGGAUUCAAAGGAAAAUGUGUAUGCGUGUGGGGGGGGGCGGUGGUGGGGGAGGCAGGGACAAAGCUCCAUUACUAAACCCAAAAGGCUGAAAACUACCAUGCUAAUGUUUGAGGAUUUAUUAUCCCUUGUCAUUGUCUUACUGUUUUGUUUUAUUUUGGUUUUCUGUUUAUUUAUUCAUUUAUUUUGAUUUUCCAAGACAGGGUUUCACUGUAUAGCCCUGGCUGUCCUGGAACUCACUCUGUAGACCAAGCUGGCCCCAAACUCGGAGAUUUGCCUGUCUCUGCCUCCUGAGUACUGGUAUUAAAGGCAUUUGCCACCACUGCCUGGUAGUUUUCUGUUUAUUUAAAUGUAUUUUGCUUCUGAAAGAAUUUGUUUAGAAACCCAUUUUGACCAUCUCUGGUGGUAAAAGAGAACCUGGAGACAGAGUGAACAGAUACCUUGUGUUCACUACCCUAGAACAGACCCCUGGGUUCCAGUCACAGGUGUGCCUCCCCCCAACUUUUUUUUUUCCUAGACAGGAUUUCUCUGUGUAGCCCUGGAUGUUAAGGAACUCAAUCUAUAAUCCAGGCUGGCCUUGAACUCAAAGAUCCACCUGCCUGCUCCUCUCAUCUGCUGGGGUUAAAGGCGUGCAUCACCACAGGUUCCACACAGGUUCCUUUUAACAGGUAUAUGAACUUGAAACAA